UCUUCAGUGGGCACAUAUAUAAGAAAUGCCAGAGAAGGUAGUAACACUGCAGAAGUUCGUCAUCUUCAAGCAACUAUUGAAGAGCUGAAGCAAAACCAAGCAAAUUUGCAGUCUCAGCUUACGAAUAUUACAUCCAUGUUACAACGAUUUCUACCUUCUCAGAUUCCUGAUUCAUCAAACGCUUGUAGACAUGAUGAUGAUGGAGCUGAAUCCCGUCCCUGAUGCAUUCUAGAUUAUCUUUUAUGAGUUUGAUAUGUAUAUGUUUCUUAUUUUUCAGAGUACAUUGUAAUUUGCUUUUUCAGAGUACAUUGUAAUUUGUAUGGCAGCUUUUCUGAUACAUGAGUUAAAAACAUGGAGUUUUAAUCAGAUAUAUCAAUAUUCAUAUUUUGAAUGAUCUGAAUAUUUGUGUCAAUGUAUCAAUGUAAUACAGGUUCAUAUUGUUAUAAUAUAUGUU